rnacentral:rRNA from 1 species
AUUGAACGCUGGCGGCAUGCCUUACACAUGCAAGUCGAACGGUAACGGGCCUUCGGGUGCCGACGAGUGGCGAACGGGUGAGUAAUGCAUCGGAACGUACCCAUCAGUGGGGGAUAACUCUCCGAAAGGAGGGCUAAUACCGCAUAUUCUGUGCGCAGGAAAGCGGGGGACCGCAAGGCCUCGCGCUGAUGGAGCGGCCGAUGUCAGAUUAGCUAGUUGGUGGGGUAAAGGCCUACCAAGGCGACGAUCUGUAGCGGGGCUGAGAGGAUGAUCCGCCACACUGGGACUGAGACACGGCCCAGACUCCUACGGGAGGCAGCAGUGGGGAAUUUUGGACAAUGGGGGCAACCCUGAUCCAGCCAUGCCGCGUGAGUGAAGAAGGCCUUCGGGUUGUAAAGCUCUUUCGGCCGGGAAGAAAUCGCAUCUCCUAAUACGGGGUGUGGAUGACGGUACCGGAAUAAGAAGCACCGGCUAACUUCGUGCCAGCCGCCGCAGUAAUAC